rnacentral:rRNA from 1 species
GCAGCAGCCGCGGGAAUACGUAGGUGGCAAGCGUUGUCCGGAAUUAUUGGGCGUAAAGGGCUCGCAGGCGGUUUCUUAAGUCUGAUGUGAAAGCCCCCGGCUCAACCGGGGAGGGUCAUUGGAAACUGGGAAACUUGAGUGCAGAAGAGGAGAGUGGAAUUCCACGUGUAGCGGUGGAAUGCGUAGAGAUGUGGAGGAACACCAGUGGCGAAGGCGACUCUCUGGUCUGUAACUGACGCUGAGGAGCGAAAGCGUGGGGAGCGAACAGGAUUAGAUACCCCGGUAGUCCCUGUCUCUUAUAA